AGAGUUUGAUCCUGGCCUCAGAAUCAACGCUGGCGGCGCUGCCUAACACAUGCAAGUCGAACGCGAAAGGGGAGCAAUCCCUGAGUAGAGUGGCAAACGGGUGAGUAACACGUGGGUGACCUGCCUUCGAGUGGGGGAUAACGUCCCGAAAGGGACGCUAAUACCGCAUGACAUCCUGCUUUUGGAAAAGCGGAGAUCAAAGCUGGGGAUCGCAAGACCUGGCGCUUGAAGAGGGGCCCGCGCCUGAUUAGCUAGUUGGUGGGGUAAUGGCUCACCAAGGCUACGAUCAGUAUCCGGCCUGAGAGGGCGGACGGACACACUGGGACUGAGACACGGCCCAGACUCCUACGGGAGGCAGCAGUGGGGAAUUGUUCGCAAUGGGCGCAAGCCUGACGACGCAACGCCGCGUGGAGGACGAAGAUCUUCGGGUCGUAAACUCCUGUCGAGCGGGAAGAACGCUUCGCGGAUGAAUAAGCCGCGGAAAUGACGGUACCGCUAAAGGAAGCCCCGGCUAACUCCGUGCCAGCAGCCGCGGUAAUACGGGGGGGGCAAGCGUUGUUCGGAAUUACUGGGCGUAAAGGGCUCGUAGGCGGCCAACUAAGUCGGAUGUGAAAUCCCCAGGCUUAACCUGGGAACUGCAUCCGAUACUGGAUGGCUUGAAUCCGGGAGAGGGAUGCAGAAUUCCAGGUGUAGCGGUGAAAUGCGUAGAUAUCUGGAGGAAUACCGGUGGCGAAGGCGGCAUCCUGGACCGGCAUUGACGCUGAUGAGCGAAAGCUAGGGGAGCAAACGGGAUUAGAUACCCCCGGUAGUCCUAGCCCUAAACGAUGAAUGCUUGGUGUGACGG
rnacentral:rRNA from 1 species